rnacentral:rRNA from 1 species
GAUGAACGCUAGCGGGAGGCCUAAUACAUGCAAGUCGAACGGUAAGGCUCCUUCGGGAGUACACGAGUGGCGGACGGGUGCGUAACGCGUACGAAACAUACCUUCAACAGGGAGAUACCCCCGGGAAACUGGGAUUAAUACCCCAUAGCAUUGCGACUUCGCAUGAAGAUGCAAUUAAAGCUUUGGCGGUUGAAGAUUGUCGUGCGUCUGAUUAGUUAGUUGGUGAGGUAACGGCUCACCAAGACGAUGAUCAGUAGCUGGUCUGAGAGGAUGAUCAGCCACACUGGAACUGAGACACGGUCCAGACUCCUACGGGGCAGCAGUAGGGAAUAUUGGACAAUGGGCGAAGCCUGAUCCAGCCAUCCCGCGUGUAGGAAUAAGGCCUAUGGUUGUAACUACUUUAUUAGGAAGAAAAACUUUGAUUUUAACCAGAGCUUGACGGUACCUAAGGAAUAAGCACCGGCUAACUCCGU